rnacentral:rRNA from 1 species
GCGCCAGACUCCUACGGGAGGCAGCAGUGGGGAAUAUUGCACAAUGGGGGAAACCCUGAUGCAGCGACGCCGCGUGAAGGAUGAAGUAUUUCGGUAUGUAAACUUCUAUCAGCAGGGAAGAAAAUGACGGUACCUGACUAAGAAGCCCCGGCUAACUACGUGCCAGCAGCCGCGGUAAUACGUAUGGUGCAAGCGUUAUCCGGAUUUACUGGGUGUAAAGGGAGCGCAGGCGGCGCGUUAAGCCUGGUGUGAAAGCCCGCGGCCCAACCGCGGGACUGCAUUGGGAACUGGCGCGCUGGAGUGCCGGAGGGGUAGGCGGAAUUCCUAGUGUAGCGGUGAAAUGCGUAGAUAUCAGGAGGAACACCGGUGGCGAGGGCGGCCUGCUGGACUGCGACUGACGUUGAGGCCCGAAAGCGUGGGGAGCAAACAGGAUUAGAUACCCCGGUA